rnacentral:lncRNA from 1 species
AUGCAGGAACAUUCCGUGGAUAUAGCUGUGAGAAACGCAGACACAAAGUCACUGGAAAUGCGAGGAGGAGCAGCACGACGCCUUCACGAGCCUGUGCAGCUGUUUGUGUGUGAGGAUGUGUGUACAUUUCAUUUCCUGACAUGAAUCUUCAAAGUUAUCUCCAAUCUACUUUGAGGAUGCUAAAGAAGAAGUGUGUGGUGUAAGGGAGGGUAACAUGCAUGAUUGUCCCCCGUGGAGGUUACAGGCAGAAAUAAUAAAGUGGCAAUGGAGGAAAGAAGUUUGAUGAAA